UCCUGUCCUCCACGCAAGAAGUCGCCUCGAGCAAGAGCGGUCACUUCUUCCUGCUUGCCCUCCAGAGAGGGAGUCACGCGCUUGCAGACCGGGAGGAGAAGGCCAGCCUGGAACCUGCUCCUGCCCACAGGUUCUUUCCAGCCAUCAGUCAUUAACCGAACGGCUUUGCAGCUCCUCCCCGGCCAGGAGCUGCUGCCGUGUGAUGAUCUCGGGAUGGGAGGCAGCUCUGCUGGGGCACCCAAUUGCAGAAGAGCCAGACCCCAGAGUGGAACAGGCCAAGUGGAUGGAGAAGAAAGAGGGAGAGCAAAUGGCCUGAGGAAAAGAGAAGUUGCUUGGAGAGAACACAAGCUAAAAGCCUUGACGUAACUGAUGUUAAUCACAGCCAUUUCACACUGUCCCUUUUAUAGCCCUGCUGGGCCUUUCCAGGCUGAGACAGGCUGCCCACUCUUUCAGGAAGGCAGGACUGGGCAAGGUUGUCCUUCAGCCCCCCCCCC